rnacentral:rRNA from 1 species
GAUGAACGCUGGCGGCGUGCCUAAUACAUGCAAGUCGAGCGAACAGACGAGGAGUUUGCUCCUUUGACGUUAGCGGCGGACGUGUGAGUAACACGUGUAUAAUCUACCUAUAAGACUGGUAUAAUUUCGGGACACCGGAGCUAAUCCCGUAUAAGAUCCUGAACCGCAGUGUUCAACAGUGAGAGACGGCCUUGCUGUCACUUCUCGAUGGAUCUGCGCUGUAUUAGCUAGUUGGUAAGUUAACGGCUUAUCAAGGCUACGAUGCGUUGCCGACCGGUGAGGGUGGUCGGCCACCUGGGAACUGGGACAGGGACCAGACGCCUGAGGGACGCAGCAGUAGGGUAUGGUACGCAGUAGGCGAGAACCUUACGGAGCGAGGCCGAGUGAGUGAAGAAAGUGUUGGGAGCGUAAAGCUCUGUUAUUAGGGGAGAACAGCUGUGGCAGUAGAUGAACCCUUAUUGACGGUAACGGAUCAAAAAGCAACGGCUAACUACGUG